CACGGCUUGAUCGCCCGAGCCUUGAAGCUUGCUACAAGAGGAGAAGGGCUGCUCGCUGUACGCUGGCCGCGGGUACAUCGCCUCAUGCUGGAAGCCGGGCUCCCGUGCCCGGGUAUAGUAAUCCGGAGAAUGGCUUGUUCAUUGAUGGACAGUACACAAAGAACAACACCAGAAAAGAAGACCACAACCUAUUUCCUCCGGCAACUCUGCGUUUUCCUGUUUAGCCCUCGGAUUGCACUAACUGUCAGCGCGGAAAAGCAAUAUAUAUAUAUUAAAAAGAGAGACGUGGGGAAUAUUUCGAAAUUCUGAAAGAAGGAAAACUUUUGACUCCCAAAAAUAGAUUCUGACCUCUCCCGCCCCUUCAAACUACACACCGGAAACGGCAAGAAUUAAAAACUUGACUGCCGGAUUCGAGGACUGUGCACGCCAAUAAUUAUCAGGAACGCAAUGUACUCGGAUACCCGGAGAAGAAUUGGGAAUAAAAAGCCAUCGAUACUUAGUAGGAAAGUUGCACAUCAAUGCACCGAUAAUGUUACAAUCCUCCACGCCAGGAUUUGUGCCAACCGACUCCGUUUAUCAGCGCUCCUAGCAUAAAAUCGGAGAAUAUUCCCUCCUGCCUGAAAGAUUGCGAUUUUAACGAGGAAACUAACGCACUAGGAGCCCGAAUUAGGAUUUGCGCACAUUCUAUAAAAUGCAUCGUGCGAGAUAUGUUACAAUUUACAAAUUCAGUCUGAUAUCCGGCCCCCAAAUCCAGUCCUAUUGUCCGCUGUGUGCCUUUAUGUUAACCUUUAUUUUGGACACUGCUAUAGCCACAGUUCGCAUAUAUAAACACACACACACACACACACACACAAGUAUAAACUUUCUGUAUAAGUCUGUUGCGUUUAAAUGCCUUUUCCUGCUUAAGUAAUGCCCGCGGAGAGUAAAAAUUUCAGAUUGUAUGUUGUAUACGUUCUCUGAUAUUAAACUGAACCAUUACACAAUUGAAGGAGGAGAGGAGGUUUAUGUUUAUAAAAAAACACUCGAGUAUCAAAAUCCGGCAUGGAGGAUGAAUAUUCUAGUUAUUUUGUUUUUUUUUGUUUAUGACUCUAAAGCCAGCCUCUGCGUUUCUGCAUUACUUUGUUUUAAUUGAUUAUCGGUAAGCGUUAUCGUUGCAUUAAAGCACAAAACUUGGGAGUGGAAGGCAUAUUAACGAAAAAAAAAAUGUCCUUAUUUUAUUCCACGGAACAGUUUACAUCCUUCAUGGUAAAGCGGGUAAACUCAACAAAUAUAAAUGGUCCAUUUUUAAAUAUUUUUUUCCUUCUAAAAAGAAAUGUACAGAGAAAUGACCUUCAACACGUUCACCAGAACACCAUUUUAUACGGGUCGCACGUCAAUGAACUGUACAGGGGUUGUGGCUACACACAGCUCCUUAUUAAAACUAUACUUACUAACAAGAAAUUACAUCAUUACAGUAACAAAUAUAGGUCACUGACAUAUUUUUCCCUUUAAAUACACGUGGUAAAUUAAUGCUAAUUACAGUAACGGUCAAUGCACCACAUUAGAAAGCCUAAUUCAAAUUACUAUAUAUAACUUGUACAAUCUAGACUCGGGUCAGUCCCCCUAUCUGUACAAUACAAACUACAGGUCGAACAGUUACAGAUUUAGGUAGUAUUUUGUUUCAAUGUUAAGAAAUGCGGAAUAAAUCUCCCCAUUUGCUAAGAAGUCAUUGAUAACGCUCUAAGGUUUUCAGAAGGUUUUUUUUU